UCGCGCCUUUCUACAUUUAAAAAUAUGACCGUGAUUGUCGUCUUUCUGUGAGUGAGGCGGCUAACUGUGAGCUUCUGGUCGUUAUAACUGACUGCUCGAUCGGUCCCGAAUUAUUUAAUAUUUGCCUGUUAAUUUUUUUUUUUUUUGAGCGAAUUUGAGUCGUCACAUGUCAAAGGAGAACAAAAACUGUGAACACAAGAAGGGUCAGAUGUGUUCUGCGAGGUCCUGCAAACAUACUGGCAAAAUGAGGUAAGAAAAUCGCUAUCUUUAUUAUCUUUUGAAAAUAGUAAAGUAUAACCAGAGUUUACAAAUGGGUAGAUUAAAGGACAUGUAACCUGCAGAAGAUAAAUAAAUACCCGUGUGUGUAGUUUUGCAUUGCUUUAUCACAGAUGAUCAAGUUAGAUGCUCACCUACUGUGUUGCUGAGUCAUCAAGGAUCCAGCUUGUUCUUGAAACAUUGAAGUUUGCGCUCUGCAAGUGAACGACGCCUUGUGGUGCCAUCCCAAAGAAGUUCAAAAUCACUCUCACAGACCUUUUCCUGGACUGUGCUGGGCUGGUGGAAUGACCUCCCAAUCUCAAUUCGUACAGCUGAAUCUUAACUCAUUUUCAAGAAACAUCUAAAGACUCAUCUUUUUCGACAGCACUAAACCAACUAAUACUAGCACUUUUCCUUUUCUUGUCUUUUCAUUUAUUAAAA